AGAAAGUUACAGUUUACAGUUCAUUUUCUUGUCAAAUAUCUAAUAUUUCUUUUGGCACAGAAUGGUUAUAGAAUCUUUAGGUAGAGUGUUUACUGCGGUUCGCCAAGCAGGACCCCAUUACUGGCAAAUGAAGGAACUAUUCGUUGCGUUUGGCAUCACGGCAUAUAUCGUAUGGAGGAUACCCGUCACAGAUGAAAUGAGAGCUCAGUCAAAAAACUUACAUCCUGAUUACUGAUGGGAAUAUGAUGUCAGCUUGACAACUUCUAGCUUACUAAACAGUAGUCUAAACUGUAAAUGUAGCACGGAUGCGGGUAGUAUUUUGUCACAACGAAAUGCGUCUUUACAGUUCGUCUAUUACAUUCAUCUACAUCAGCA